AUUCAACACGUUAUUAAAAGCGUAUGGUUCGUGGCUAAGUAAAAGUUAAGUUUAUUUGUAAUAAACUUUUAUAAACAUUUUAUAUAUAAGUAAAAUUAUACAUCAAUACUUUAAAUAAAUCAUUUAUAAAAAAAAUAAGCCAAAAAAUUAUUUAUUAAAAAAAUAAACAGAAGAAAUAAAAAUUAGUAAAUAAGUAAAAAAUGGCAUUAAUUAGAAGAGCAACUCAUGCUGGUAGUUGGUACGCAAGUUCUGGAUUGGAGUUGAAUAAACAAUUAGAAGGUUGGUUGAGUGCUGCAGACUUAUCACAUGGACCUGCUAGGGCAAUAAUUGCCCCACAUGCAGGUUAUAGCUAUUGUGGAGCAUGUGCUGCUUUUGCAUAUCGUCAAAUUAGUCCUAUAGUUGUGCGUAGAAUUUUUAUUCUUGGUCCAUCACAUCAUGUGAGAUUAGCAGGCUGUGCUCUUUCGUCUGCUUCGAUUUAUCAAACUCUUUUAUAUGAUCUACAUAUUGAUCAGCAAGUGUAUAGAGAACUUGAAGAAACUAGACACUUUGAAUGGAUGGAUUUAAACACAGAUGAAGAAGAACAUAGCAUUGAAAUGCAAUUGCCAUUUAUUGCAAAAGUUAUGGAAGGGUUUAAAGAUUCUUUUACAAUAAUUCCUAUAUUAGUGGGUUCAUUAAGUCCUGAAAAAGAAGCACUUUAUGGAAGAUUAUUAGCACCAUAUAUGGCUGAUCCACAGACAUUAUUUGUUAUAUCUUCAGAUUUUUGUCAUUGGGGUCAACGGUUUCGUUAUACCUAUUAUGAUAGAUCCUGUGGGCCUAUUCAUAGAUCUAUUCAAAAUCUUGACAAAAUGGGUAUGGAUAUCAUUGAAACAUUAAAUCCCACAAUGUUUAAUGAUUACCUUAAAAAAUAUGGUAAUACAGUAUGUGGUCGACAUCCUAUUAGUAUUCUUUUACAGGUAAUUCAUAGUUUAAAAGGAAAUACUAAUGGUCAAAGAAUGAAUUUGAAGUUUCUUAAAUAUGUUCAAAGCAACCAGUGCAAUAAUAUGAAUGAUAGUUCUGUUAGUUAUGCCAGUGCUUCCUUGGUUCUUGAGUGAUACAAUACACUUUCACUGUUACUUGAAGAAUUUGCAGAAAAAAAGAAAGUAUUAAAAAAAUAAAUAAAAAAAAUAUUUAAAAAAGAAAUAAAAAAACGGCAGUAAUAAUCUAUUAAUCAUAAAAAGCAUUAAUUAUAAUUUUUUAAAAUUUUCUUUUUAAAAAAAUAAUUUAAAAUCAAAUUACAAUUUGCUAUUAUAUUAUGGAAUUUUCUCAAUGGCUUGAGAAAGAAUAUUAUAUUAAUUUGUUAAUGAAUGUGAUGAAUAGAAAUGUUCUAUCAAA